CUUGGUCAUUUAGAGGAAGUAAAAGUCGUAACAAGGUCUCCGUUGGUGAACCAGCGGAGGGAUCAUUACCGAGUACUAUAACUCAUAACCCUUUGUGAACCUUUAUACCUGUUGCUUCGGCGGCGCGCCUCCCGGGGCGUGCCCGCCGGCAUUAUCAGAAUCUCUGUUCGAACCCGACGAUACAUCUGAGUGUUCUAAGCGAACUGUUAAAACUUUCAACAACGGAUCUCUUGGCUCCAGCAUCGAUGAAGAACGCAGCGAAACGCGAUAUGUAAUGUGAAUUGCAGAAUUCAGUGAAUCAUCGAAUCUUUGAACGCACAUGGCGCCUUCCAGUAUCCUGGGAGGCAUGCCUGUCCGAGCGUCGUUUCAACCCUCGAGCCCCCGUGGCCCGGCGUUGGGGAUCUGCCCAGGCAGUCCCCGAAAACCAGUGGCGGACCCGUUGGGCCCUUCCUUUGCGUAGUAACAUCUGCCUCGCAUCGGGAGCCUGCGGGCUAUCCGGCCUCUAAACCCCCCUCAAGCCCGCUCCGGCGGCACCAAGGUUGACCUCGGAUCAGGUAGGAAUACCCGCUGAACUUAAGCAUAUCAAUAAGCGGAGGAAAAGAAACCAACAGGGAUUGCCUCAGUAACGGCGAGUGAAGCGGCAACAGCUCAAAUUUGAAAUCUGGCUCCUUCGGGGCCCGAGUUGUAAUUUGCAGAGGAUG
rnacentral:sRNA from 1 species